UUAAUUUGGAAGUGUGGGUCCCAUCAAUUUUUUUAAUUAUUUUUUAAAUUAAUUGAUUUUUUCUUUUCAUCAUUUUUUUUUCAUCAUUCUUUUAAUUUGGGGAUGUGGCCGCACUAUCCCUUAAAUUAAGGUAUCGUUUGGUUCGGGGAUAAGUAAAAAAUGGUUAUUCCAGAGAUAGAUAUAAAUUGAGGUAUAAGCGGGGAUUAGAUCAAUUUUGCAUUUGGUUGAAAAUUGGGCUAUUCCUGGGAAUAAAAAACAUAGCGCUUGGUUAGGUAAGAUGAAACAAGAAAGAAAGUGGGUUUUUAUAAAUAAAAAAAUAAUGAUAUUACCCUCUUAUUAUAUUUGAAUUUGAAUUUUUAAAAUUUUAAAUUUAUAUUUUUAAAUUAAAAUUUUAACUUUGAAAUUUCAAAUUUUGAAAUUAGAAUUUUUAAAUUUAAAAUCUAAAAUUUUAAAUU
rnacentral:lncRNA from 1 species